rnacentral:piRNA from 1 species
UGUAAUGGGCUGCACUCUCUCAGAAA